rnacentral:tRNA from 1 species
ACUUAUAUAGUAUAAAAAUUACAUUUAACUUCCAAUUAAAAAAAUUAUUAAUAUUUAAUAAUAUAAGUA